UAAUAAAGAAAAAUAAAAAAAAUAAAAAAGGACAAGAUGGAUGGAUGGUAUCCUUGAAGUGACUGGCUUGAACUUGAAGGAGCUGUCAGCUGACCUGGAGCUCUGGCCUAGGCUGGGCCAUGAGGUCACAAAGAGUUGGGAGCAACUGAACAAAUGAACAAUAUCUUAGCUUUUGCCUAAUGAGAUUGGUCAAUAGAACUAGUCAGGCUAUUGGACCAUCUAGCCCGGUAUUAUUGACAGAUGCUAGCUAUUCUGACUUUCAAGCUGGACUUUUUUCCUAGCUGGAUAUGGAGAUAGUGGGAAUUGAACUAUUGAUUUUCUGUAGCCAAGGCCAUUGAAACACCUCCUGCCCCUGCAACUAUCAGUGACUGGCUAUGUGAUCAAUAACUGGGAUGAUUGUCUACUGUGGUCAACCUCAGCAAAAUUUACUGGAGCAAUAAAUCUAGUGCAAUCAUGGAGAAAAAUUAAGGCAGAGGAUCUCUGGAGAAGAGAGGAAAAACAAGCACAAGGAGUGCAAAAACAGACACGUCAUGGCUGUGCUACUUUCCUGUCCGUAUUGUCCUUUUGGCAUGCUUUGUAAGGAUGCUUCGCCAGGGUGGGAAGGGGAGCAGAAGGUGGAAGAGCACAUUUUUGGAUGUUAAAAGGAUCACUGUGGGCACAGCAUUACAUGGUUGUGUAAUGUCCAUAUUUCUUCAUAGCUGGUAUUUAAGUAGGUUAUCUGAUACCAGGGGAGCCACAAGGGGUGGCACAGUAAAUGAUCCUUUUGCCCGAGGCAAACAAUAAAGGAAAGAUAAUCAUGGUGCCUAAAGACACUGUGUAUGUCAUGCUGAAGAACAAAGAAAAACAAACCUCUCAGACCCUGAGUAUAAAGAAAAGAGACUUUUUCAAUUCCUUUUGGACAGAUUUUGCAUGCUUGAACCCCCUUCUCCUCAGGUUUCUCUGUUCUAGGGCAAAAAUCCCAAGGUAAUAUUUUGAGUCUUGCUUUUAUUACAUUUAUUAAGGAAGAGAGUCUCCUCUUCUCUCCACAUUGUUGUUGUUGUGUGUCUUGAAGUAAUUUCUUAUUGCAACCUUAAGGUGAACCUCUCACAGGGUUUUCUUGGCAAGAUUUAUUCAGAGAGGGUUCACCUUUGCCACUUUAUUUUAUUUAUUUAUACUAUAUGUAUAAUUUUAAUUUUGGAGGGAUCUUGUGGGAAUGUGAGGUUUAAAAUGCAUUUUAAUGGUAUUUAUUAUACUCUAACUUUAUUGUAACCUAACACACACACAGUACUCUUUAACUGUUCGUUUAUUUUUAUAUUUACUUUGUUUUAAAUUGAUUAAAGUAUGUGGUUGUUAGCUGCCUUGAGUCCCUUCAUGGAGAGGGGUGAGAUAUAAAUAAAGUAAAUAAAUAAAUAAAAUUUGUUUUUAUAUACAUUUAGGUCUAUCACUAUGCUCACAUUUUUAUUUCAGCAGAGAGAGGGAAAAAUCAGUUGUCAUAUUUGCUAUCUAUAGGCUAUCCAAACAAUUUCAAAAAAUAAUAAUCAAGAUUCAUCUCUACAGCAAACCUAAUUUAUCAUUGGUUGGGACAUCUAAAAAUGUACUUUCAAUCCACAAAGACUUCUCCUGCCAGAACGGAGUAGAAGGAGGUGAAGGAAGCUACAUAAACAAUUAACCAAAAAGCAUUCAGAUUUGAUGAUGCUAUGGAUAAUUGGGCAAUUAAAGUUCUCUUAUGUGACUUUGCUCAUCACUGGUUCUGGAGACAUGUCGUCAUUUUAAAAGUCACAGUGUUCCAAAAAUCUCACUGUUCUGACAUAAAAUGCCUCUGUUCCUCUUCCCAUCUACAAGAAUACCCUUCAAUCGAAAUCAGAGAAUCACACAUUUUUAAAAAGUUGGGUGAGGGGGUGGGAGGACUCUUCUGCCGCCAUGCUAUCUUAACUACUUGGAAGGUGAACUGGCUGUGCAGGGGACAGAUCGGAGACUAUAUAGUUGAAUCAAACAGGAAUUUAUUAACUGACAAUAAUUUUAGACUUUCCCUCCUCCUGAGUCUCACUACAAGGUCUUUAUGAGGAGAAGUAAUGUCUUUGAGAGAUAGACACAGUUCUGGCCUAACUGAAGCUCUUGAAUCUUUAUUUGUUCCAAAUUUGUUCUAAAUUUCCUUGUACCAUUCUUCUGAAUUUUCUUUCUUUCCUUCCAAUUUUUUGCUGUUAACAAUUUUGCUGCUGUUAAUAAAUUAGAAAGCACUUCCUUCUCCUCUUGUGAGGGAAUUGUAUUAUCAUAUAUGAGUAAUAAUGCCGAUUUUGGUGUAUAAUAAUUUUAUUAUUGCUCUUAUUUCUUUAAAUACCCUUUCCCAAAAUUUUUGAAUAAUUUUACAGGACCAGCACAUAUGAAAAUAUGAGCUUAUUUCCUGACAGCCUCUCCAGCAUUGAUCUGAAUAUUUUUAUCAAUUUGAUUUAAUCUGAUUGGGGUUAGGUACCACCUCCAGAUGGCUAUAUAACCUGGCUAUGGAACCAAGCGUUUGGUGAGUAGCGCAGGGCUAUAUACAGCUACGAAGUGAAUGGCAAUGUGUUUGGAACAGCUUCUAGAUUAUGAUUUUUAAUUAUGUAUAAUCUUUUAACAGCUUAUUUAUGUACUUAUAUGUUAGUGUUUUAUGAUUUUCAUGAUUUAAUGCACAAUGUAUAUUAUAUUUUUGUUUGUCUUAUGUUAAUAUGGCAUUGAAUUAUUGCAAAUUUGGAAGCUGCUCUGAGUCCCCUUUGGGGUUGAGAUAGAGUGGGGUAAAAUACAGUAAAUAAAUAAAUAAAUUUCUUCUUA